rnacentral:lncRNA from 1 species
UUUUUCUUAAUUAACAAAAAUAUAUGGUGCAAAAAAAACAAAAAAAAAAACUAAACAACAUUAAAUUAGAUACGUACAUGAAAGAAACAGAUUGAAAAUUCGUUAUAUGUAGCUAAUAUAUAGUGACACUGACACAGUGACACCAAUCUUCUUAAAGAAAAAAAAGAGGUGGAAGAAUUCACAAAAUCGUCCGUCCAGAUUUGUUUAUCGACAAAAGGUUAUCAGAAAAUGAUGGGCACAUGUUCAAAUUCCUCGUGGAAGCUAAGUUUUAAUCAUAUCGGAUCGAAAUGGAGUGAAACCAAAGUAUAUAGACAUGAACUGAGACCAAAGCACACUGCCCUC